rnacentral:rRNA from 1 species
AUGGAGGCCAUUGCUCGCACUGCUAUGUAUCCUCAGUACCGCUGCAAAAACAUAUACCUGGUGAGGCAUGCUCAAGGUAUUCAUAAUGUGGAAGGCGAAAAGGAUCAUAGUGCCUACAUGUCGCCUGCGCUGCUUGAUGCUCACAUUACCCCUUUGGGUUGGAGCCAAGUUGAUAGCCUGCGAGAACAUGUGACAAAAUGUGGACUAGACAAAAAGAUUGAGCUGGUUAUUGUUUCCCCUCUAUUGAGGACUAUGCAAACUGCAGUGGGGGUCUUUGGUCAUGGGAGCAAUACUGAUGAAGCAAGUGCAUCACCAUUAUUAAUGGUAGAAGGUGCUGGACACAGUGGACAUAAGGCUAUUUCAAGUUUGAACUGCCCACCAUUUCUUGCAGUUGAGGCCUGCAGGGAGCGCUUGGGUGUUCAUCCCUGUGACCGGAGGAGCAGCAUUACAAAAUAUCGUGCUCUCUUUCCUGCCAUUGAUUUUUCCUUGAUAGAGAACAAUGAAGAUGUUCUUUGGGAACCAGAAGUCAGAGAAACAAUUGAAUCUGUUGCUGCCAGGGGCAUGAAGUUUAUUGACUGGUUAUGGACAAGAGAAGAAAAAGACAUAGCUAUUGUCACCCACAGUAGUUUUUUGGAUUUCACUUUAAACAUGUAUGGUAAAGAGUGCCAUCCAGCCAUAGCAGAGGAACAGAGGAAGCGCUUUGCCAAUUGUGAACUUCGCUCAAUGGUGUUGGUCGAUGUAAGUAAGCUUGGAUCAGGAACCCAUACUUGUAAUUUCUCUGGGAAGAUACCAUUCGGACUUGAUCUUCCUAGUGAUGUUGUGGACAAGAAGUGA